GAGAUUGCUGCAGUAAUUGGUGGCUCUGAAAACACUGAGGAAAUGAGAGGCUUGUACGAAACAUCAGCCGACAAGAAACGGGGUGAUGUCAGACAGCCUUCCAGGAUUAGAAACCCUUAAAAGCUCCGAGCCCGCGGCCGCUGCGGAAAGCUGCUUGGCUCUCCGGAUACAUGUGAUGGUACGAAGAUGCUGGAGUCCAAGAUUCUUAGAAUGGCUGAGUUAGAGAGGCCGAUCCAUCACCUUAUCCAACCUACUUGGUCCCCAAGUGGCCAGGUUGAGGCUCAGAGAGGGCUAAGUGUGUGCCUCGUGUCACACAGCUUGCUCAUCUGACUCCAACGCUGGUACUGAGAUCCCCGGUCAAGUGAGAGGAGUUCAAGGGACGCCGCAGAAGGUCUCCCAGGAACCUCUCUGGUGCAUUGCUAACCACACCCAGGAAUAGAGCACGUGCUGGACCUUCAUGGAAUAUGUGACAGCCUCUCUCUGGCUCAGUUUCCUGAUUGGCUAGAUGAUAGCUCUGCUCCUGUGCUCUGCCGGUCUCAGUGUGUUAUUAUUAAGUUCGCUGCUUGGCAGAGAUAACCUGCUAACUCACAGGAAUA